GACGAGCCACACAAACGUUAUUCGGAAUUACUGGGCUUAAAGGGUGCGUAGGCUGCGCGGAAAGUUGGGUGUGAAAUCCCUCGGCUCAACCGAGGAACUGCGCCCAAAACUACCGUGCUCGAGGAAGAUAGAGGUAAGCGGAACUUACGGUGGAGCGGUGAAAUGCGUUGAUAUCGGGAGGAACACCAGUGGCGAAGGCGGCCUUCUGGACGGACACUGACGCUGAGACGCGAAAGCGUGGGUAGCAAACAGG
rnacentral:rRNA from 1 species